CGGGCUGUGGCGCAGUUUGGUAGCGCGCUUGAAUGGGGUUCAAGAGGCCGCAGGUUCAAAUCCUGUCAGCCCGACCA
rnacentral:tRNA from 1 species